AACGAACGUUAGCGGCGCGCCUAACACAUGCAAGUCGCACGAGAAAGGGGGCAACCCCCGGUACAGUGGCGCACGGGUGAGUAACACGUAGGUAAUCUACCUCCGAGUGGUGGAUAACCUUCCGAAAGGAGGGCUAAUACAGCAUGAGACCACGACCACGAGAGUGGAUGGGGUCAAAGCCGGCCUCUAUACAUAAGCUGGCGCUUGGAGAUGAGCCUGCGGCCCAUCAGCUAGUUGGUAGGGUAAUGGCCUACCAAGGCAAAGACGGGUAGCUGUCUGAGAGGAUGAUCAGCCACACUGGAACUGAGACACGGUCCAGA
rnacentral:rRNA from 1 species